CGGGAGGAGAGUUACCUGCCUCCCCUCGGAGUCGGUGGAGCGGACCGAUGGAAAACCAGGAGCGGACUCUUUGAAACACUGCGCGCGGAGCGACAGCCGACAACACGCUGUUCAGUUUGGAGAACGCAGCAGCAUCGCAUCAUCUUUGCACACCAUUGACCCCCGGAUCAGGUUCGACAUUCACAGGCCACAAGGUUCAGCGGAACGCCUGCGAAGUCUGGACACCGGUGUCCUGUCGGGGAGAAGAGAAACAGUGGGCGCCUGCAGAAUCCUGAUGUGCCCCCUGGUGUUUUGAAGUGAACACAGCAACGUCAAGGUUGGCUCAAUGUGACAUUAAACUCGGGGCCACAGAUUCCAAGGUCAGAUAAACUGACAUCUACAAAUUCCUCCCCUGCUGCCGGCAUGUGUACUCUGUGGCAACAGUUUCACGAGUUACUCAAUAGGCCAGUGCAAAAUGCUGAUACAGCAGCUGUCCCUUACUUACUGAACAUUGUGACAUCCCGCGUGCAUCCUGGAAAAAAGGAAAAGCCCACGAAGGCGAGGUGUAUCCUCCUGUUGCACAAUAGUAACAUCCGCAUUUGUCCCUUCGCUCAGCACAAAAAUGUUUUUGACAGGAAAGCAGCUUGCGGAUGACAGAUAUAGUACACCACAGCUGGUCAGGGGGGGGAAAGGAACAAGCCCAGUGGUGUUUUGUUAUUCAAAGGCCAUAUGAGGCCAGUGUUUGACAUGUCAUAGCAGAACAGAACACACAGGCGCAAUCAAUGAAAAUUAAUUCAGACUGUAUGUAACCGUUAUUGUUUUGUCAGAUCCACCUUUGCUUUUUCUGCUAUGACAGUGUGCGAAAAUGUGGAGUUCUUUUUGACUGUGAAUCUAUGAAAGAUUUUAUGAACCCCAAACUCUAAGACACAGAGCAUUCAAUUUUGAUCAUAAUUUGUUUUUAAAAUGGAAAGGUGAGUAAACUGUCCAGUUCUAGACAUGAACAAAACUUUAAUCAAGAUUAAAUAUACCCCCCGAAAGGUCUCGCAACUCAGAAGAAGUCUAAACUUAAUACAAAAAAGAUGAGUUUCUCCCUCCGUCAUGUCAAUGGCGCCUCACAAGUUUUAUACUUCCUGGGAAUCUUGAGACUUUCAUUCAGGGUAAAUUGCAUACGUAUCUCAUUCGCCAUACUUUACAGUGCAUUUAUUCUCAAAACAAUAGCCUUCUUCCACAUCUAAAAACCCAUACAUAAACUCAUUUAUAGAAUUAUUUACAUACAAGGCUCGAACAAAUCAAACUCAAACCAUUUGGUGAGCAAUUAGAAACUUAGUAAGAAAAGAAAAAAAUGAACAUCACACAUCAGAAGACAUGGGAACUUGCUUGAACUUUAUGGCUUGUUUUGAGCCAUAUAUGUAGUGACAUUUUGUUUCACGAAUCACUGAAUUGACCAUUAAUUAAUUAAUUAAAUAAUAAGACAAAUUGUCACCCAGCAAGGCCGAUGGAAGAAUACUCAACUUGCACGAUUUUUCCACCUGUGUCUUUAAAAUUUGGUUGCAUACAUACAUAAAAAUAUACAAACACAGCUCAAUAAGAGUGAUAAACCAAAAGUCUCUGAUGCCCACUGGAGACGGCCUCCCCUUCAACAAGCAUUGUUCAGAUUCAGACAGGAUACAGUCGACACAGCACUGCUCACAAUGCACCUGCAUGGAAAGUACAGAAAUCAUGCAUAUUCAAUGUGGAACCAAACAGAAUGAUUCAAAAAUAUGGCAAAAAAGAAUAAAGAAAGAAAAGUUAAACACAUUUAGAUGUCACAACUGAGUUAGUACGCAACCACGUCACCCAAGACACAAUUAUAAGACUAUACCAUCUCUGUUUGUUAACGACACGAUGUUUGAGGUGACAAGUUGAUUCAAACCAGGAAGAAAAAACAGAAUACCAGCACUGUGUCUUGUGUUGUGGUGUGGUGGUUUUUUUGAAGCGCUGCAGAGAUGUAACAGAGUGUUAUGACCUCCACAACAUUACAUUUUUAUUGUUACAUGUGUCAGAAGAACUGAACACAGAAUGAUAAACACAAAAAGAAAAACCCAGCAAUAUAACUUCUGUCCAAAUGUGACGUCCUUUUUCUUCAUUAUUCCGCAAAGAAUUGAUGAGCAAACGACAACUGACGAUUUAACAUAAUAUUCGUGUGGUGAAACCAUACAGACAGGCAACGUAAAAGAGCAGCAUCAACUGCUUGAAGGUGGGAAAACUGAAAGGGCAUCAAACAGAAUUUUCUCUUUUUUUGGGGUGGGAGAGAACAAAUAUUUAUUAAGCAAUUUUAAUUUCUCUUAUUCUGCAUCACGCACACCGAGAUGUUUGAGUUUACAAGGCCAGAAGGCCCACAGCCGUACUUUAAUCAUGUGUAUGUUUAUUUUUAACUGCCUCACUUAACACCAAUGACUUCAUUUGGAGCUUUUCCCUAAACCUUGCAAUGACUUCUUUCCCGUCCUUCAUAAACUUUGCCCAUAAACCUUAAUCUGAAAAAGAGGAAAAACGAAUAAUUCUCAUGGUACUAUUUCUGCACAGGAAUAAGCCAAAAAGAGCACUGCCUCCACUAAACAUCCUCUCAGGUCUUCAUAUAUGCAUCAUGGUAGCUAGGUAAGAGAAUAGCAGACUACUGUUAAACAACAAAAAGGAUGAUUCAGUUUGUGUACUCUGGUGUCUGUAAAGUGUGCGCGAGACUUGGCAAAGACCAGAAGCUCUCUGUGGAACAAAAAGGUAUAGUGUCAUGAAGUACAUGUUCAAUAUAAUUUGAUUUUUCAACAUCGUCUGUGUUCUCAUGGGAUAAACAACCACCAUCACCAACCAAACAGGAAAACGUUUGGCUCACAGAGCGCUGGAGUUUCCUGGUGUCCGCGCAUGGUCAUGAAAGCAUCACUCAGGGCAGAGGCAGCCGCAAGGCCACGUCGGACAGUGUUGGGCGCCGGGGUGUUGACAUAAGAGGAGCCCGGGGGUGAAAAGUGGUAAAAUACAAUAUGAGAGCGAAGUCUUACAGCCGGGUCUAUGUGAGCGCAGCAAGGACAGGUGGUGAAUACGCAACAGGGAUAUACACACACUCCUCUUCCAAGGGCUCAAUGACAUGAUCUAGCAUGGGU